AACAUUUUGGCUGUCCCCCCCCCCCCCCAGGCUUACCUGAUCAACAGUGUGUGGAACUGCUACAAGUACAUCAACAACAGGAAUGUGCAGGAGAGCGCUGUUUACCCUAACUUCAUGGCCCCUCCACAGUACAUCCUGCCUACCUACGAGAUGGCAAUGAAGAUGCCAGAGAAAGAGCCCCCUCCCCCCUACAUGCCUGCCUGAAGACCCCGUGCCCCCCCGUCUCUACCCCCAUCUAUAUGUGUGUGUGGGCCACCCAGAGCUCGUCAUUUUGACCCCACCAUGCAUUUCUAGAGAGGAGGGAUACUCUUUAUAAAGUCUUGCUAACAUUCAAACCCGUGUUAUAUUGUAGACAAGUGAGAGGGGCAGAUGCCGUGUAGUGUAUAAAGCGAUGAAAGCUUUACGACUUUUCUUUCCUUGUCUCGCCCCGUCUUUUGAUGCAUUAAUAAAAAAAGGGAUAUUGUGAAAGUACCAUCGCUUCAAUGCCUUUCACCAGUCCAGCUUUAGAAAAACAAUAUCCUUUCCUUAUAGAUUGGUAUUAUAACGCGUGAAUGUAAAAAGGAAUACUCUUAAGACAAUCCACUUAUGAUAACUCAUCUUUAUCCUUUAAUUGUUUUUUGCUUGUUAAAUUAUCUAGAUUUUAUUCUAAGAGUUUGAUUGGAACGUUUUGAAGCACUUUCUCUUUAUCCCUUUAUUUAUUUAGCCUUGGACAUCCAUCCGCCACCUGUGUGUGCCAUGUUCAUUCUCCGCCACCGCCUUUGUGAUCUUGCGUUGUUAGCUUAGUCAAGCUAGUGUAUUGUGUUGCAGUUCGAAGCGUCCAGACACUGCUGGUUAAAGGGAUAGUACACCAACAUUUGGCAGAUGUUUUCAGACCUCAAAAUUUGUCCAAUGUCAAGAUUAAAUAAUAAUACUUCUUAACAAAAGUCCACUUUGGAGGACUGAAAACAUCAGACAAACGUUGGUUUUGAAGUGGACUGUCCCUUUAAGGAGAGCGUAAGGUUCACCUGGAGGGAACGAAUGGCUAGUGUGAACAGUACUGGAUCCAUGCUACUCUUUCUUUCUGCCUUUUUCUUUACAUUGUGUUUUGAUCCUUGUGGGAAACAAAUUACUUCAAUAAACCAUUCAAAAACAUUUUGUAUCCAU